rnacentral:rRNA from 1 species
CGCGUGAGGAACCUGCCUUUCAGAGGGGGACAACAGUUGGAAACGACUGCUAAUACCGCAUGACACAUUGGGGUCGCAUGGCCCUGAUGUCAAAGAUUUAUCGCUGAAAGAUGGCCUCGCGUCUGAUUAGCUAGUUGGUGAGGUAACGGCCCACCACGGCGACGAUCAGUAGCCGGACUGAGAGGUUGACCGGCCACAUUGGGACUGAGAUACGGCCCAG